rnacentral:rRNA from 1 species
CAGAGGGUGCGAGCGUUAAUCGGAAUUACUGGGCGUAAAGCGUGCGUAGACGGUUAUUUAAGUCGGAUGUGAAAGCCCCGGGCUCAACCUGGGAAUUGCAUUCGAGACUGAAUAGCUAGGGUACGGUAGAGGGAAGCGGAAUUUCCGGUGUAGCGGUGAAAUGCGUAGAUAUCGGAAGGAACAUCAGUGGCGAAAGCGGCUUCCUGGACCAGUACCGACGUUCAGGCACGAAAGCGUGGGGAGCAAACAGGAUUAGAUACCCUGGUAGUCCACGCCGUAAACGAUGAGGACUAGACGUUGGAGGGUUAAGCCUUUCAGUGUCGUAGCUAACGCGCUAAGUCCUCCGCCUGGGGAGUACGGCCGCAAGGUUG